GCUCCCGUGGUGUAGCGGCCAAUCAUAUCGGCCUCUCGAGCCGAAGACCCGGGUUCAAAUCCCGGCGGGAGCA
rnacentral:tRNA from 1 species